AUUGAACGCUGGCGGCAGGCCUAACACAUGCAAGUCGAACGGUAGCACAGAGAGCUUGCUCUCGGGUGACGAGUGGCGGACGGGUGAGUAAUGUCUGGGAAACUGCCCGAUGGAGGGGGAUAACUGCUGGAAACGGUAGCUAAUACCGCAUAACGUCGCAAGACCAAAGUGGGGGACCUCCGGGCCUCACACCAUCGGAUGUGCCCAGAUGGGAUUAGCUAGUAGGUGGGGUAAUGGCUCACCUAGGCGACGAUCCCUAGCUGGUCUGAGAGGAUGACCAGCCACACUGGAACUGAGACACGGUCCAGACUCCUACGGGAGGCAGCAGUGGGGAAUAUUGCACAAUGGGCGCAAGCCUGAUGCAGCCAUGCCGCGUGUAUGAAGAAGGCCUUCGGGUUGUAAAGUACUUUCAGCGGGGAGGAAGGCGGUGAAGUUAAUAACUUCACCGAUUGACGUUACCCGCAGAAGAAGCACCGGCUAACUCCGUGCCAGCAGCCGCCGUAA
rnacentral:rRNA from 1 species